ensembl:lncRNA
CGGAGCCUGGCCUCCUUCUCCAGCUCAUAUAAGGUAAAAAGAAAAAGGUUUUCCAGCUUCUGAGCCGCAUGGAAGGAGUUUUCGCCCAGCACUCCCAUGCCAGCUGCUUAAAAAACCCCAGCAGGCAGCGUGGGGCCGCAGUGGCGGUUAUAAUGGGACAGGAGGAGGUGGCGGUUGCGUGCCCACACCCCGUGGUGAUGUGGGAAAGGGCAGCAGGUAGGUGCCCGCGGGACGUGUGGGGCGGGCUUGGCAUGGGGCGGAGGGCAGCAGCAGGGGAUGGCGUGGGGUGCCCUGGCACGGUGCAGUAUGGAGCGGAGGAGCCCCAGAUGUGCCCCGGUGAUGCUGCAGAGGGGUGCGCGUGGGGCGAGUGGCACGUGGGGCAACCGUGUGGAGGCAGGAGUGGUGCUGUGGGAUGAGGGGAGGGAUUGCUCUGCAUGCACCCGGGGUAGGAACAACGGCAAGGCAGUAACAAGCCUGGGUAGGGCCGGCUCGGAGAAGAACAAGGCUGCUCGCUGGGCACUGCUGCUGGGCAGGAGGAUGCCAGCCAGGGGAAGCAGGCUGAGGUCACGGCAUAGGAGCCAUGCCUGGGCCCCCAGCCUGGCCCUGGGGCUGCAGUGGGCAUGGUGGCAGCGGCUGGGGCACUUCAGUGUCUCUGGGACACCACAGUGCCACAGUCCCAGGUUGUCUCUGUUCCGCUGUGCGCCCCUGGAGAGCAGCAGUGGGGUCAUGGUGGGCAGCGAGAAGAGGCUCAGCUGCGCUGUGGCCCCAGUGAUGUGCUCGUUUUGCCCUCUGUGUGCUGGUGAAGGUCAGCCCGGUGCACAUCGCUCUCCAGGCUGUGCGCAUGCAACGCUCGCGUUACUAUUGGUUCCGUACAUACCAAAACUUCACAUAGAAAGCACUGAAGCACUCAUCAGGUGCUCCAACAGGCCAUGCCGGUGUUUCACUUUCAGACAUGUCUCCUCCAGGAACCUGACCCAUCACAUUCCCCCCGCGCAGCUCUUUCCCUGCAGCACCAAUGGGGAAACUGAGGCACAGAGAGGGGUGGGCACUCGGUGAGGACCCCAGCCCUGUGGCUGCCAGCCCUGCAGCACCCGGCCCGGGAGCACGGGGCACUCGGUGCCUUUGUGCUGUCCCCAUCACGGUGCCCAUGUCCCCAGAUACGGGACUCAGUGCUGUUCCUGCCUGGCCCCGGGCCCCAGCCCGCAGCACCGUGCUGAUGGAAGAGGAGCUCAUUUCCAGUACACACACACACACAUAAGCCUCUGCCACAGAUUUCCCAAGCAGUUAUCAGCAGGAAUUUGGGGAAGGCUGUGUCUAGACAGGCUGCAGCUCUGGGUGACUCCUGGAUGGAGUGGCAUUUCCCUCCACGCUUGUCAAGAGGCAGUCUGGAGAUGAUUAAGGGCUAUUUUUUCCUUCUUUUUUUUUUUUUUUUUUUCAUUUUUUCUUGGUCUCCCUUUCUAUUCUAACAGAGGAUCAGCCUUCUGCCUGAUCAGGAUUUUCCUGCUCACCCCCAGCAAAGCCUCUGCCCAUCCCAACCCCCAUGGGGGCUGAGCAGGAUGGGUGGGUGAGUGGGUGCCUUUGGGCAGCACGUCGCCCCUGUGAUGCUGAGUGGGAACCGGGGCUGUAAUGCUCUGUAAGGCCCAUGGCAGGAGAGGGGCUGACAGCCAUGGGCAUCCGCCUAGGCUGGGCACCCUGCAGUCACGGUGGGGUGCUGUGGGGUGCAGCUGCAGAGCUGAAACCGAUGCGGGGGAGAAGCAGCACAAGCUGCUCAUGUCUGUGGGAGCGCGCCGGAGUCGGAUAGCAAACGAUGAGGCAAGAGGCUGGAAAUCUGAGCUCUGGAGCCGUUUCACCAUCCUUUGACCUUGGCCAGCUACACACACACACUCACACGGAGGAGGGAAGCAGAGCAGACCUGGUGUGGGGGGGAGGCUCUGCUGGGAACCAGAGCACACCGCAGCCAGUGGUGCCGGGUAGUGCUGCUCCCUCGCUCCGAGCCCUUUCUCCUACCCGGCACCCCCCGCACGGCACUGGGGCUGUGCUGGCUGCCUGCUCUGGGGUGUCCCCACAGCUCCCUGGGCACUCUGACUCAGAGAGAACACAGCACGUGCCAGGCUGGCAUGACACUGCCAUGGAGACCAAGGGGAGAAGCCGAGGGCUGACCCUGUGCCAGGGAUAUGGUACUGGGGGUACCCGUGGUUCCCAUCUCGCAGCACAGUGACCCCAGCCCAGGCCCUGGGAUGGGACAGGGACUUCUCCCAGCAGCAGCAGCAGCCAAAUCUUGGCUGCAUACUCACCCCUGGAGUCAGCAGCACACAGACCUGUAGGCCAGCGCAGGGCAGGGAGAGACAAAGCGCAAUGCAAAGUUGGCCCCAUGGGGCAGAGCAGUGCAGUGGGACCCAUCCCAUGCUCCAACACUAUGGCUGAGGAUGCUGAAGCAGGCAUCUUCCCACUGCUGGGCACAGGUGAGGGAUGGAGCUGCUCAGUGCUGGCUGGAGGAGUUGGGGAUUGUCGUGCUUUGAUGGGGAUGGGCACUUCUGUAGUGCUGCAGAGCCCUGGAUCAGUUCAGUGCCCACUGUGUGCGGGCAUGAGCUGCACAGGGCAUCACCAUGAAAGCGGUCUAUUGAGACGCUUUCCCUGUGGCUGCAGGACAGUGGGAUGUCCCAGCAGUGCCUGUGGGGCUCCCUGUGGGGCAGCGGGGGCUGUGGGUGCCGGCAGUGAGCUGUGUGCACCCACUCUGUAGGGAAUGAGCGUGCCUGCCCCCACUCUGCGGGGAUGUUCCCCACUGUGGGGUCUGGGAGGUGCAGGGAGGUGGGUGAGCGGCAUCCCUCAGAUGAGGGGCUGCAGCCCGUGGGAGUUGGAUGUGGGGGCUGCGACCCGCUGUGCCUCAUGCAGGUGCUCUGUGCUGAACACCCGGCUGUGGUGGUGCUCUCUGCAGGAGCAGCUCACUGCCAGCUGCUACCUGGGGAGAAGUCUUCCCUCCAGCCGGGACUCCUCGCCUGGGUUCCAUCCCCACACAUUUUGCCUUCCUUUCCCUUUCACCCACAGCUGAGCUCACGGAUCCGCUCCGCUCACUGGGCCUGCUGGGAAGGUGCUGUUCCUGCUGCUCCUCUGCUGCAGCCAACAGUGUGCGGGCAGCUCAUGCCUACAUUUGUCAGCAUGGCUCUGCCCUCUGCAGCCCCACCGGGCUGUGAAUGGGAACACCAAAGGAGGGAUUCCCACAAUGAGAGGGAGCACCCAGAUUGCUGUAUCAGUGGCUGUGGACUCAACUGUCCCGCUGAGGACAGGCUCAGCCAUGUUUUCAUGCUCCUGCUUUUCUGUGUGACAGCCACAGUUUCAACACAGUGCUGUACACCUGGGGCCCGUGCAGGGCUCUGCCUUCUGUUGUGGCUGUGGCACGUGUCCCAUAGGGUGUGCAUGGGGCAGCCCAGCUCUGAGAGCUUGGCAGGAAGAUGGUAACCUGAGAGCCAGCGUGAGCUCAGUGUUGUGCCGGAGCAUCCUCUGGGCCUUGUCUCCUUGCAGGGAUCUGGCAUAUUUGGGGUAUUUUCUUUCAGAGUUCGGCGUCUCAUACCAACUGGGCUCAGUGGGAUUGGGAGAGCCGAGCUGGGGCCAUGCUGGGGAGGUGAUGUUCAGACGGGGCUGCUCUGUGCAGGAUGUGCUGCACACAUGCACAGCGUUCCCCCGCUCCUUUGCUGGAGCAGAAAUGAUAAAGCCCCGAUAAGCUCCGUGAGCUCCAGGCCAUGCCUCUGUGGACAGAAACCUGCAGCUUGGCUGGUGGUGUCUUACAGUGCCCCGGGACUGAGAGCCUCAUGGCCAGGAGGGGCGAGGAGCAGAGCUGGGGGCAGCAGGGAACACCGUGGAUGCUGCAGCAGCCCCGCUUCUGCCAGAGCUGUGUGGGAGAGGUCUCAGUGGGGAGCUUUGCUCUGGGCUCCUUUCCCCCCGGAGGGCUGGGGGCCGCUGACGUGAUGGACCCCCCGCAGGGACUUCACCCCUGCACCACUUCCUCUGGACCGGGAAUGUGCCAUGUAAACAGCACAGCAGGGCCGGCCCGGGCUGCUCCCACGCUCCUGCUGCCCCGGGUGUCAGGCAGGCUCACCGUGCCCCAUCCCCAGUGUGCCGUCCUGCUGGGAUGGGGAGGCUGGGGGAGAUGGGGCUGAGUCCUGCCAUGCGUGGGGAGCGAGAUAAGGACAGGGGCUAUGGGGGCUGGCUGGGAGGCAGCAGGAAGAAGCGAGGCCGUGGGAAAGGCGAUGGAUGGAAGCUGCAGAGGAGGUCAGGCUGCUGCGCAGCUCUGCUGUUCCUUGGCCAUGUGUCUGCACAGAUCCCGUCACCCAUUCAGCCCUGCUGAGCUCCGGUGGUGCUGUGCAGCAUUUCUCCCCCUGCACAGCCAGCAGCACCUGUCCACCUGCAUGGACACAGCAGGGCCAGCCAUGCUGCAGUGGGGACAGAAGGCAUUUUCCCACUGGCAGAAGCUGCCAUGCCAGGAGCACAGGGACUAUCCUGCCACCCACUGUCACCAACAGGGAGGUGCCACUGGGGUUGGCGGCCUGGAAGUAGCACUCGCAGACAUUGCUCACCUGUCUGCUGUCUCCAUGGCGUCACCACCCCGAGCCCUGAUGGGGAUGCAGAGACACCAGAUGAGGCCAUUUGGUUCCAGGAGGGGGCUGCGUGCCCUGGGAGCACAAACCAGGUGCAUCCCUCCCCUCCGCACCCAUCCCCUGCUCCAAGACUCAGAAGCAGCCCCCCCCCCCCAGACCUGCUCCUUUGUUCUUGGCAUCAUAAUUUAUCCCAGCAAAACCCACAGAGAAAGAGCAGCAUCCCCCUGGGCCCCCUUGGCUCGCCCCCAGCAUGGGAGAUGUGGGCUGCACGGGCUCCAAAUCUGCCUUUUUGACCAUAAAAGGGCAGAAAUUCUGCAGCCCCGGCGGGAGGAUGGGAAAGGAAAGGCAGAGCUAUUUAUAGCCGAGCAUCAGGACCGCAGCCUGAACUCGGGGUUAAUCAGCCUGUGACCAGAUUAGGAUCUCCCUUGGCCCCAUCAUUUUCUCAUAAACCUUUGAUUUAAUACUACACAGGAGCGGCCACUGCAGAGAGGGGAAAGGGCGCAGUGUUGUAACCGCGGGGAGGGCUCUGACGCAGCCCAGCAUUGCCGGCUCGCCCAGCCGGGGACGCGGCUCCGCGGAGCAGAGGCGGAGCCUUGGCCAUGGGAGUACCCAGGGACACAGCCAUCACUGGAGAUGCUGGAGGUGAACAGAGACUGUACAUCCCCGGACAGCGAGAGAAGGGCAGAGCUGGUGUGCCAGCAUACUGCCUGCACUGGUUGCCCUUUGGGCGCUGGCAGCAGCACGCACAAACCCAGCAGCCCCCUGAACAGGGCUGGCUCCCUGGGCAGUGCUGAGCCUGGGGUAGCUUCGUGCUGAAAGCAGUCUGGUCCCUUCCCAAGGAGCUGCUCACAAGGAAUGCAUGGGGCUGGGAGGCUGAGCUCUGCCAUGGGGCAGCGGGCCGUCAGGAGGGGCCUGUGAGCAGUGCUGCCCCAUGGCACUGAGCCCUGUGGCUGUUCCCACACUUGGCCAGUGCUCAGGGCUGGCCUGGCCUGAGCUGGGAGCAGGGACAGCCAGCACUGGCAGAGGCGGCUCCCAGACAUCCCUCCCGGGUGACUCACGCCGUGAUCUGUGCAUGGAGUUUGGGGCACUGUGAGCCUCUUCCCUUUCUUUUCUCCCAAUAAAUCGGGGCUGCGGAGCUGGGGGGUGGCAGGUGGGGGAGCGUGGAGCGAGCAGAGGCUGUGGGUGCCCAUUUCCCAGCUGGGUGCGCUCAGGGGGGGCCAUGCCGGAUGCAGGGAGCCGUGCUGGAGCUGCACCAUCUGCUUCUUGUCAGGCUGCUGGGAGCACCGCGGCUCCAGGGCCGGCAGUGGGACAUGGCUGUGAUGGAUGGUGUGUUUAUCAUGCUCUAGCGCUACUCAGGAUGUUAGUGCUCGCCUGCAAGAGAUGUUUCUGUGCUCGGCUGCUCCCUCCAUCCUCUCCUCCUCCUUCUCUCCCCAGACCCUCUCCCUUGAGCCCACACGGGGGGGUGGGGGUGUCCGUCCCACAGCCUCCAGCCCUGCCUGUGGCUGAGCUCCCAGGACCAGCACUGAAGCCUUCCCACAGAGGAGCUGCAGGCUCCUCUGGUGAGGACAGGAAUGGAGACAGGGACAGGGCUAUGCAGGGCUUGCACAUGCUCCUCAUCCCCCAGGGGACAUAAAGGAACAGAGUGCAGGGAGAAUGUACUGUGUGAGACCUGCAUCCCACAUCACCUCGGGGGCGUCCUGGCCCCAUACUGUACAGCCACCCCAGCAGUCACAUCCAUGUAGUUUGAGACUACAGGCAGGGACUCCCCAGUGCUGGGCCAGGUUCCGGGUCCUACAGCCCCACAGACGCACAGUUGGGAUGCGGCAGUGGGCGGUGUGCAGCCCUUCUCCAAGCACAGAGGUUUAUCUGUGCGAUGCCGCAGCCAGCCCAGCCCCAUCCCCCCCACCAGCCCCCAGCCUCAUCUAUCCUGCAGCCGCGAUGCCUGGCGGAACAGCCACACACAGCCAUGCGUGGCACAGCACACAUCGAGAGCAGCUGGGGGCUCCUCCAUGUCUCCCAGCCCAAGGUGCAGUGCUGCAUCUCUGGUCAAUUGGGAGUCUGAGAUGAAGCACUGUAGCUCGGGAAGGGAGGAACUGUGCCCUGGGACCCCGCCACCCCCCGGACUGCCGCCUGCUGGGAGCACUGAUGCCAGCGGAACAUGGGAACUGCGCAGUGAGACGGGAGCACAGCGUGUGACUGGAUGUGGGGGUCUGCCCUGCAGCCCCCCCCCCCCCCGCUGUCUCUGGGGCUGGGUCCCCAACUGUGGGAGAAGGGGCUCUCCCAGCCGUGUUUUUGGACACUGCCUCUGAUGGAGAAGCACAGAGAACGGAGCCUGCAGACACGCAGCGUGUCCCCCUGAAGAUCCCAUAGGGGCUGCUGACCCCCAGCCAUGGGGCAGGGCUCACCCCUCUGCUCUGUAUCCUGCGAGGGAAGGGCAGAGGAGGAGAGGUUUGCUUUGAGGCAGAGGAACACCCCUACGCCUGGUCAGGACUCCCAGAGCUCCCAGCUCUGUGGGGGGGGGGGGGCACGAAUGCUGCGUGGGGACAGCGGGGUCACACACAGAGCGGCCAGAGGAGCAGCUGUGCAGGGCGGGGGCCGCUGGGAGCCGCGGUCGCCGUGCUCUCAGGGUCCAGUUUUCCCAGGAAUCCCUUAGGCGCUACGUUGGGGAUUCCUGGAAAUACUGUUCUUGGGGCCACGGCUCUGCACCUGGAGACAGCCCGACCCCGAGCGGAGCCGCAGCCCCGCGGGAGCCAGGGACGAGGUACGGGGCCGCGGCCGCGAGUGGGACCCCCCGGGCGGCCCCGAUGCGGGGCGGUGGAGGGACCGGCCCAGGAAACGCCCCCUCCCGCGGGGCCGGGGCAGACGGCCGACCCCUCGGUCACAGCCCCCUGCGGGCGGACGCCGCCCAGUGCCUUUCACGCCGCUACAGCCCUUCGGUGCCCUCCACGAAGGACGGGGCUGCACGCGCGUCACCGAGCCGCCCCUGUACCAAUAAAGCUCUCGACUCCAAGGAACCGUCGGAGCCGUUUCUCUGGGGCGGGGAGCAGCGCAGGACGCUGCGGGCCGAUGCCGGAACCGCCCGGCCGUGCAGCAAAG